rnacentral:rRNA from 1 species
AAGUCCCGCAAGGGGCAAGUAGAGUGGCAAACGGGUGAGUAACACGUGGGUGACCUGCCUUCGAGUGGGGGAUAACGUCCCGAAAGGGACGCUAAUACCGCAUGACAUCCUGUCUUUGGACAGACGGAGAUCAAAGCUGGGGAUCGCAAGACCUGGCGCUUGAAGAGGGGCCCGCGUCUGAUUAGCUAGUUGGUGAGGUAACGGCUCACCAAGGCAACGAUCAGUAUCCGGCCUGAGAGGGCGGACGGACACACUGGGACUGAGACACGGCCCAGACUCCUACGGGAGGCAGCAGUGGGGAAUUGUUCGCAAUGGGCGCAAGCCUGACGACGCAACGCCGCGUGGAGGAUGAAGAUCUUCGGG